rnacentral:rRNA from 1 species
UACGUAGGGUGCGAGCGUUGUCCGGAAUUAUUGGGCGUAAAGAGCUCGUAGGCGGCUUGUCGCGUCGGAUGUGAAAGCCCGGGGCUUAACUCCGGGUCUGCAUUCGAUACGGGCAGGCUAGAGUUCGGUAGGGGAGAUCGGAAUUCCUGGUGUAGCGGUGAAAUGCGCAGAUAUCAGGAGGAACACCGGUGGCGAAGGCGGAUCUCUGGGCCGAUACUGACGCUGAGGAGCGAAAGUGUGGGGAGCGAACAGG